UACGUAGGGAGCAAGCGUUGUCCGGAAUCAUUGGGCGUAAAGCGCGCGUAGGUGGCUUCGUAAGUCCGUUGUGAAAGUCAAAGGCUCAACCUUUGAAAGCCGAUGGAUACUGUGAAGCUAGAGUACGGAAGAGGCGAGUGGAAUUCCUGGUGUAGCGGUGGAAUGCGCAGAUAUCAGGAGGAACACCGGUGGCGAAGGCGGGAUCCUGGGCCAGUACUGACGCUGAGGAGCGAAAGCGUGGGGAGCAAACAGG
rnacentral:rRNA from 1 species